rnacentral:tRNA from 1 species
GGUGCUGUGGUGUAGUGGUUAUCACGUUUGCUUUACACGCAAAAGGUCUCCGGUUCGAUCCCGGGCAGCGCCA